GCCGGGAUAGCUCAGUUGGUAGAGCAAAGGACUGAAAAUCCUCGUGUCACCAGUACAAA
rnacentral:tRNA from 1 species